rnacentral:rRNA from 1 species
AGUGAACGCUGGCGGUAGGCCUAACACAUGCAAGUCGAACGGCAGCACAGUAAGAGCUUGCUCUUACGGGUGGCGAGUGGCGGACGGGUGAGGUAUACAUCGGAAUCUACUUUUUCGUGGGGGAUAACGUAGGGAAACCUACGCUAAUACCGCAUACGACCUACGGGUGAAAGCAGGGGAUCUUUGGACCUUGCGCGAUUGAAUUAGCCGAUGUCGGAUUAGCUAGUUGGCGGGGUAAAGGCCCACCAAGGCGACGAUCCGUAGCUGGUCUGAGAGGAUGAUCGGCCACACUGGAGCUGAGACACGGUCCAGACUCCUACGGGAGGCAGCAGUGGGGAAUAUUGGACAAUGGGCGCAAGCCUGAUCCAGCCAUACCGCGUGGGUGAAGAAGGCCUUCGGGUUGUAAAGCCCGUUUGUUGGGAAAGAAAAGCAGCAGGUUAAUACCCCGCGGUUCUGACGGUACCCGAAGAAUAAGCACCGGCUAACUUCGUG